rnacentral:rRNA from 1 species
GUGUCAGCAGCCGCGGUAAUACGUAGGGUGCUAGCGUUGUUCGGAAUCAUUGGGCGUAAAGCGCGUGUAGGUGGUUAGGUAAGUCGGGUGUGAAAUCCCUGGGCUCAACCGAGGAAGUGCAUCCGAAACUCCCUAGCUAGAGGACGGUAGAGGAAGGUGGAAUUCCAAGUGUAGAGGUGAAAUUCGUAGAUAUUUGGAGGAAUACCGGUGGCGAAGGCGGCCUUCUGGGCCGUUCCUGACACUGAGACGCGAAAGCGUGGGUAGCAAACAGGAUUAGAUACCCUGGUAGUCC